rnacentral:rRNA from 1 species
ACUCCUACGGGAGGCAGCAGUGGGGAAUUUUGGACAAUGGGCGAAAGCCUGAUCCAGCCAUUCCGCGUGAGUGAAGAAGGCCUUCGGGUUGUAAAGCUCUUUCGCAAGGGAAGAAAACUUAUAUUCUAAUAAAGUAUGAGGAUGACGGUACCUUGAUAAGAAGCACCGGCUAACUACGUGCCAGCAGCCGCGGUAAUAC